rnacentral:tRNA from 1 species
GGAUGGGUGGCCGAGUGGUUUAAGGCAGCAGUCUUGAAAACUGCCGUACUCGUAAGGGUACCGGGGGUUCGAAUCCCUCCCCAUCCGC